GGGUGGUUAGAAAGAGCACCACAGUAUUUAACAAGCAUGUUUUGGCAUAAAGUCAUCCUUUCUCUACACUUGUUUUUGUAAAGCAAGACUUUCAGACGGAGCGAUUUUAGUGAUGUCUAAACUAACUUCUCAACAAAUAUAUUUAUUCCUUAGGGUCCAGUUGGUUCUCGCGGUCCAGAAGGACCUCCAGGCAAACCUGGUGAAGAUGGUGAACCCGGUAGACCAGGACAAUCUGGUGAGCCUGGAUUCCCAGGAUCUCCGGGGCCUCGAGGCUUUCCUGGUGCUCCAGGUCUUCCAGGUCUUAAGGGUCACAGGGUAA
rnacentral:lncRNA from 1 species